rnacentral:rRNA from 1 species
CCUACGGGAGGCAGCAGUGGGGAAUUUUGGACAAUGGGCGAAAGCCUGAUCCAGCAAUGCCGCGUGCAGGAUGAAGGCCUUCGGGUUGUAAACUGCUUUUGUACGGAGCGAAAAGGCUUUCUCUAAUACAGGGGGCUCAUGACGGUACCGUAAGAAUAAGCACCGGCUAACUACGUGCCAGCAGCCGCGGUAAUACGUAGGGUGCGAGCGUUAAUCGGAAUUACUGGGCGUAAAGCGUGCGCAGGCGGUUCUAUAAGACAGGCGUGAAAUCCCCGGGCUCAACCUGGGAAUUGCGUUUGUGACUGUAGAGCUGGAGUACGGCAGAGGGGGAUGGAAUUCCGCGUGUAGCAGUGAAAUGCGUAGAUAUGCGGAGGAACACCGAUGGCGAAGGCAAUCCCCUGGGCCUGUACUGACGCUCAUGCACGAAAGCGUGGGGAGCAAACAGGAUUAGAUACCCUGGUAGUCCACGCCCUAAACGAUGUCAACUGGUUGUUGGGUCUUCACUGACUCAGUAACGAAGCUAACGCGUGAAGUUGACCGCCUGGGGAGUACGGCCGCAAGGUUGAAACUUAAAGGAAUUGACGG